rnacentral:lncRNA from 1 species
UACCUUAGAGCUCGUAGAAAUGGCUUCUUCUGUUGAGAAGUCAAGUGAGUUCACCAGGAAAUCCACCACUACAUUGGCGCGUGAGGUGACUGCAGCUGUAGAGAAAAGGAGCUGAAAUCUGAUGUAACAAAUGGGAAAAAGAUGCUUUUUUGCGGGUUCUUACGACCUUUUGAUUAGUCUCUUCUAAGGGUGUUAAAAAGGGUGGGUCGGGCCG